rnacentral:rRNA from 1 species
UACAGAGGUCUCAAGCGUUGUUUCGGAUUCAGUUGGGCGUAAAGGGUGCGUAGGCGGCGCGGUAAGUCGGGGUGUGAAAUCUCGGAGCUUAACUCCGAAACUGCAUUCGAUACUGACCGUGCUUGAGGACUGGAGAGGAGACGUGGAAUUUACGGUGUAGCGGUGAAAUGCGUAGAUAUCUGGAGGAACACCGGUGGCGAAGGCGGCAUCCUGGACCGACACUGACGCUGAGGAGCGAAAAGCCA